rnacentral:rRNA from 1 species
AGAGUUUGAUCCUGGCUCAGGAUGAACGCUAGCGGCAGGCUUAAUACAUGCAAGUCGUGGGGCAGCAUGGUGUAGCAAUACACUGAUGGCGACCGGCAAACGGGUGCGGAACACGUACGCAACCUUCCUUUAAGUGGAGAAUAGCCCGGCGAAAGCCGGAUUAAUACUCCGUAACAUUAUGAAGUGGCAUCACUUUAUAAUUAUAGCUCCGGCGCUUAAAGAUGGGCGUGCGUCUGAUUAGGUAGUUGGCGGGGUAACGGCCCACCAAGCCUACGAUCAGUAACUGGUGUGAGAGCACGACCAGUCACACGGGCACUGAGACACGGGCCCGACUCCUACGGGAGGCAGCAGUAAGGAAUAUUGGUCAAUGGACGCAAGUCUGAACCAGCCAUGCCGCGUGAAGGAUGAAGGUCCUCUGGAUUGUAAACUUCUUUUAUUUGGGAAGAAACCCAAGAUUUCUAUUUUGGUUGACGGUACCAGAUGAAUAAGCACCGGCUAACUCCGUGCCAGCAGCCGCGGUAAUAC